CCUUGAUAGUCCUGGUAGUUGUUAGCCCUAGCAUAGCUAAAAUUCGGAUGGUCUCCCCAACAUGGAUUGUAGGUGUCAAGGUAAGGAUCAUGUCUUGGUUGUCCAUAGGGUCCUUCAAAUGCAUGUACUUGUUGAAGUUGUUGAGCUUGACCUAUAACAAGACUUUUCAAAGAAGAGGUUAGUUCAGAAAUUUGAGAAGUGAGAACAGAUGUACCUACCUCAUUGACUCCUUUUUGCAAUUGCUUUUCAUCUCCAUAUUGUCUAGAUGCUACUGCAAGUUUUGAAAUCAACUCUCUAAUUACUUGAGGUGUGCUAUCUUUAAUUGAACCUCUACAUGCUACAUCAAUGAAUUUCCUUUCGGAUGGUAGCAAACCUCCACAGAAGAAUUCUAUGAGUGAUCUUUCUGAAAUGUCAUGUUGAGGACAAUUUGUACACAAUCUAUUAAAUCUUUCCCAGUAAUCAUACAAAUCUUCAGUUUCUUCUUGC
rnacentral:lncRNA from 1 species